AUGUUUUAUCGUGAAACUGCAAAUUUAUUAAAAAAAUGCGGCGACAAAUUAGGUGGUAGAGAUUGUCAACAAAUAAUAUUGUAUACGGUCCUUUCCUCACGAUAUAGCAAACUAGCGAUCUAUUAUGCCUUUUCUUCACGAUAUAGCAAACUAUUAUUGGAAGGUCUGCCUGCCCUUAAACCAUGUGUACAUGAUCUUCCUUUGAAAUCUGCUUCAGUUUGUCUUCCAGGUCCUCUGAAUUUUCUUCACAUAUGUUUUUCUGGCAAAGUGCAGCUGGGAGUGGUGCAUAGAACGUUCAGUUUUUCCAAGUUAUGGUAA
rnacentral:rRNA from 1 species